rnacentral:rRNA from 1 species
CAGCCGCCGCGGGAAUACAGAGGGUGCAAGCGUUAAUCGGAAUUACUGGGCGUAAAGCGCGCGUAGGUGGUUUCUUAAGUCUGAUGUGAAAGCCCACGGCUCAACCGUGGAGGGUCAUUGGAAACUGGGAAACUUGAGUGCAGAAGAGGAAAGUGGAAUUCCAUGUGUAGCGGUGAAAUGCGCAGAGAUAUGGAGGAACACCAGUGGCGAAGGCGACUUUCUGGUCUGUAACUGACGCUGAUGUGCGAAAGCGUGGGGAUCAAACAGGAUUAGAGACCCCUGUAGUCCCUGUCUCUUAUAC